GGUACUUUAGUGUGUGCUAUUCACAGAGGAGGAGGUCCGUGUCCAACCGGAGUACGGCCGAUCUCGUACCGUGGGCUGUGCCUUCCAGGUUUGCGUGGAAAAGUUGCGGAGACGUUAAAUCACGCGUCAAAACGGGAUGUUUGUGGUGCAUAGCAGUAAAUGUCGAGAUGGUGCUGGAGCACGAUUACAACAGCCGUCCAGUCCCAGAUUCUGAACACAUCAGAAAUCACCAACCCCUCCUGACAUAUCUUUCCAGUUUGGGUUUUGCAUGGUCCCCAAUAAACUCAACAUGGGAUGCCUCUCCGAUUUCUUUCACAUCAGGGCACUUAACCUCUACCAGGCCACAGAGAGGUUCUUCAUUUGGGUCCACCACUUUGCCAUCUGCACCAAGGUGUGGAGCAUCAGGGUGGAUGAUGAGACCAGAUGGAAGAACGUUAAUGUCAAAGGUCUCCUCAUAGCGGUGAAGAACCUCUGGCUCAAGUUUUAAUCCUCUACACAUCACUCUCUAGAGACCCUGACAGAUGUUUACAAGCACUGUUUAAUGCAAGAUAUAAAUGCAUUUAACCUGCAAUUACAACUGCAUAAUGUUUUGAUGUUUUAAUCCCAAAAUGUUGAAUACUGAUAUUUGCAAUGAUAAAAGAAAGUGCUUUAAGAGGUGAAAUUAAAAACUCCAAUAUCUAGACAAUCAUGAAUUGUAACAUCACUUCCUUUAAUGUUUUUACUUUACAGUUGAUAUGAAAUUUGUUUAAAUGUUAAAUUUGUAAAAAAAAGUAUUACAUGUUUAAAUGAAAUGCUUAUACAAAAUAAAUACGUAGUUAACUUUAAAGUAUAUCUACAUUUCUUGCU